AGUACGUUAGCUAAAUGGUAAGGCGUCGUAUUACGGAUACGUCGAUUGCAAGUUCGAGUCUUGUACGUACGC
rnacentral:tRNA from 1 species